AGCCCAAGAGGAGCUGCAGCUGGACCAAGUGACAGGUUCAGGGGACCAGACAGAGGAGGCUACAGCGUCCGGAUCUGGCAGCAAACUUAUCUUCCCGGGCUCUGCCAUUAGUGUGUUUCUUGAGGGAUUCAGGAAGACCUGUGAGGGCCCCAAUCCAAAUUAUAAGCUAAGGGAAAAUUGUGCCGGAAAGAUCAAAAGGGUGACGCAAUUUUUGAACUACAUGGCGAAGGAUGAGACCUACCAAUCCAAUCUCAUUUUCCUGAUUAACCAUGACAAAAUAAGGGGGUGAAAGACAGCAAGGAAGCCAAGGUGGUUUCCAGAAAGACCCUGCUGGAGUGCCAGUCUCUUGCCAAGGCCAAGAUCCCAGAAGUGCUGAAAACCUUGGAAGAAACAAGGACACAGAAAAAUCAGUACCAGUUUAAUGGAUACCUGUGGGCCUACUUUACCUCCAUAGACGGCCAUAGACCGGGCCUGGAUAAGAACAUGUUGGUGGAGGAGGUGGAGGAGGCUAAAUGUGACCAGUCUGGGAUGUAUCUGAU